rnacentral:rRNA from 1 species
AUGCUUAACACAUGCAAGUCGAACGGAAACGACAUUAUUGAUUCUUCGGAGGAUUUAAUGGGCGUCGAGCGGCGGACGGGUGAGUAAUGCCUAGGAAAUUGCCUUGAUGUGGGGGAUAACCAUUGGAAACGAUGGCUAAUACCGCAUAAUGCCUACGGGCCAAAGAGGGGGAUCUUCGGACCUCUCGCGUCAAGAUAUGCCUAGGUGGGAUUAGCUAGUUGGUGAGGUAAUGGCUCACCAAGGCGACGAUCCCUAGCUGGUCUGAGAGGAUGAUCAGCCACACUGGAACUGAGACACGGUCCAGACUCCUACGGGAGGCAGCAGUGGGGAAUAUUGCACAAUGGGCGCAAGCCUGAUGCAGCCAUGCCGCGUGUAUGAAGAAGGCCUUCGGGUUGUAAAGUACUUUCAGUUGUGAGGAAGGGUGUGUAGUUAAUAGCUGCGCAUCUUGACGUUAGCAACAGAAGAAGCACCGGCUAACUCCGUGCCAGCAGCCGCGGUAAUACGGAGGGUGCGAGCGUUAAUCGGAAUUACUGGGCGUAAAGCGCAUGCAGGUGGUUCAUUAAGUCAGAUGUGAAAGCCCGGGGCUCAACCUCGGAACUGCAUUUGAAACUGGUGAACUAGAGUGCUGUAGAGGGGGGUAGAAUUUCAGGUGUAGCGGUGAAAUGCGUAGAGAUCUGAAGGAACACCAGUGG